rnacentral:rRNA from 1 species
GACGAACGCUGGCGGCGUGCCUAAUACAUGCAAGUCGAACGCAGUGGGGACGGGUGAGUAACACGUGGGUAACCUCCCAUCAGAGGAGAUAACACUUGGACACAGGUGCUAAACCGAUACUGAUGGAUGGACCCGGGGUGCAUUAGCUAUUUGGUGGGGGAACGGCCCACCAAGGCCACGAUGCAUAGCCGGCCUGAAAGGUUGACCGGCCACACUGGGACUGAGACACGGCCCAGACUCCUACGGGAGGCAGCAGUAGGGAAUUUUCGGCAAUGGACGAAAGUCUGACCGAGCAACGCCGCGUGAGUGAAGAAGGUUUUCGGAUCGUAAAACUCUGUUGUUAGAGAGGCGGUAUCUAACCAGAAAGCCACGGCUAACUACGUGCCAGCAGCCGCGGUAAUUC